rnacentral:rRNA from 1 species
AACGAACGCUGGCGGCAUGCCUAACACAUGCAAGUCGAACGAGACCUUCGGGUCUAGUGGCGCACGGGUGCGUAACGCGUGGGAACCUGCCCUUAGGUUCGGAAUAACUCCCCGAAAGGGGUGCUAAUACCGGAUAAUGUCUUCGGACCAAAGAUUUAUCGCCUUUGGAUGGGCCCGCGUUGGAUUAGCUAGUUGGUAGGGUAAAAGCCUACCAAGGCGACGAUCCAUAGCUGGUCUGAGAGGAUGAUCAGCCACACUGGGACUGAGACACGGCCCAGACUCCGACGGGAGGGAGCAGUGGGGAAUAUUGGACAAGGGGCGAAAGCCUGAUCCAGCAAUGCCGCGUGAGUGAUGAAGGCCUUAGGGUUGUAAAGCUCUUUUACCCGGGAUGAUAAUGACAGUACCGGGAGAAUAAGCUCCGGCUAACUCCGUG